CCUACGGGAGGCAGCAGUGAGGAAUAUUGGUCAAUGGACGAGAGUCUGAACCAGCCAAGUAGCGUGAAGGAUGACUGCCCUAUGGGUUGUAAACUUCUUUUAUAUGGGAAUAAAAUGUUCCACGUGUGGGCUUUUGUAUGUACCUUAUGAAUAAGGAUCGGCUAACGCCGUGCCAGCAGCCGCGGUAAUACGGAGGAGCCGAGCGUUAUCCGGAUUUAUUGGGUUUAAAGGGAGCGUAGGUGGUGUGUUAAGUCAGUUGUGAAAGUUUGCGGCUCAACCGUAAAAUUGCAGUUGAAACUGGCAGUCUUGAGUACAGUAGAGGUGGGCGGAAUUCGUGGUGUAGCGGUGAAAUGCUUAGAUAUCACGAAGAACUCCGAUUGCGAAGGCAGCUCACUGGACUGCAACUGACACUGAGGCUCGAAAGUGUGGGUAUCAAACAGGAUUAGAUACCCGGGUAGUC
rnacentral:rRNA from 1 species